GAUUUUUACAUCGAUUACGAUAGCGGUGCGGAGCCGAUGAACUUUUUCCAUGUCUUCCUCUACAGUCAAGCCCUCGAGUGUGUUGUUCUCUCCUUGUUGUUGACCUUCCUGGCUUACUGGACGGCGCUCAUCGUGGUUAUGGUUUGGGUCAUGAGUUCCUAAGGCAUAGUGAGCGAUGCUCUGUAUUGGUGCAUGUCGUUGAUGGUUCUGCACAACAACCAGAAUAUGAGUUUGAGGCAGUUCGCUUGGAGCUGGAGUUAUUUAGCCCAUCUUUGGUUGACAAACCGUAUGUUGUGGUGUACAAUAAGAUGGACCUUCCAGAGGCAUCUGAUAGAUGGAAUGCAUUUAGGGAAAAGCUAUAGUCUGAAGGCAUCGAACCUUUCUACAUUAGUGAAUAAACAGGCAGGGCACACAGGACGUCAUUCAUGCUGCUUACAAGCUUCUGCAGAAAUAGAGGCAAAGGAUGAAGGAAACUGAAGGAUGGAGUGGGCCAGAAAAUCUGAACCACGUGUCUGAGGCAAUAAAAAAGGAAAGACGUGCACCCAUGAAUGAGUUUGAGGUUUUCCAUGAUAAGGGUACAAAUAGAUGGACUGUUGUCGGGGCUGGAAUCCAGUGUUUUGUCCAGAUGACUAACUGGCAGUAA